rnacentral:rRNA from 1 species
GACGAACGCUGGCGGCGUGCUUAACACAUGCAAGUCGAACGGAAAGGCCCUGCUUUUGUGGGGUGCUCGAGUGGCGAACGGGUGAGUAACACGUGAGUAACCUGCCCUUGACUUUGGGAUAACUUCAGGAAACUGGGGCUAAUACCGGAUAGGAGCUCCUGCUGCAUGGUGGGGGUUGGAAAGUUUCGGCGGUUGGGGAUGGACUCGCGGCUUAUCAGCUUGUUGGUGGGGUAAAGGCCUACCAAGGCGACGAUCCGUAACUGGUCUGAGAGGAUGAUCAGUCACACUGGAACUGAGACACGGUCCAGACGACUAAGGGAGGCAGCAGUGGGGAAUAUUGGACAAUGGGCGAAAGCAUGAUACAGCCAUGCCGCGUGUGUGAAGAAGGUCUUCGGAUUGGAAAGCACGUUAAGUGGGGAGGAAGGGCAGUAAGUUAAUACCUUGCUGUUUUGACGUUACCAACAGAAUAAGCACCGGCUAACUUCGUG